AGAACCUAAUGCAACAUACUCGAACGUCAAAUAGUCAAUGCCUUACACGAGUAAGUGAAAAAAGUAAAUGUUAAUUAAUACAAAAGUUAUUGAGUAUAGUAGCUGCAUCCACACACACCGUAAAUAAAUAAAGGAAAUAGCAUUUUUGUAGCAAUGUGAAAUCUCAAGUUCGUACAAGAUGAAAAACUCGGCAAGUCAGUGUGAACAAUUUUGUGCAAAAUAAUGAGUUCGAGGGUACCCUACGUCUUUCAGGCGCGUUUUGACUUGCUCUCUAAUUGACGGUUACGCGACUUAACACGAACGAAUUCAUGAUUAAGUUGCAAGUCCAAACAUGUUCCUGAUAUUUUACUCUUUAACGAGCUUGCACUUAGGUUGAAAGUUCAUUUGCGUUUUGAAAUUCAUUGAAGCUUGAACGAUAAUAACUCAUUUUUCAGUAACUGUUGCGGCUUCGCCUUCACCGAGCGGAGCCCGGCCCAUACAUCGCGCUGGUGUGCGUGUACCACGCGCAACGCGCAUCUCACACAUACACAGACAUCAGCGCGGCGCGGCCCACCGCCCGCGUCAUCCUCCAGUCGUCGCCUGCGCGCCCUGAGCAAGGACGGGUGUGCGCCGCUCA